rnacentral:misc_RNA from 1 species
UUAAGUUCAGCGGGUAGUCCUACCUGAUUUGAGAUCAAACAUCUAAAAGGCCAUCUCUACAACGAGCGAUGUGCAUUUAUUAGCUCCAGCGACCUCCAUUGCUGAAGGUUACCUGGGAGGACAACACAAGCGUAGAUAGUUAUCACACCUGUGAUGCCACCAAACACUGGAAAGCUGAUUCAUUUAAGAGGAGCUGACCA